rnacentral:RNase_P_RNA from 1 species
GCCGCCGGACAGGCAGUCGCUCCCGGAAAAACGGGGGAGGAAAGUCCGGUCUCCACAGGGCAGCGUGCCGGCUAACGGCCGGGAGGGCCGCAGGGCUCUACGGAAAGUGCCACAGAAAAGAUACCGCCUCAGCAAUGGGGUAAGGGUGAAAAGGUGCGGUAAGAGCGCACCGCGGCGGGAGUAAUUCCGCCGGCAGGGAAAACCCCACGCGGAGCAAGACCAAAUA